UACGAAGGGGGCUAGCGUUGCUCGGAAUCACUGGGUUUAAAGGGUGCGUAGGCGGAUAGGUAAGUCCGUGGUGAAAUCCUGCAGCUUAACUGCAGAACUGCCGUGGAUACUAUCUAUCUUGAAUGUCGUGGAGGUUAGCAGAAUAUGUCAUGUAGCGGUGAAAUGCUUAGAUAUGACAUAGAAUACCCAUUGCGAAGGCAGCUAACUACGCGAUAAUUGACGCUGAUGCACGAAAGCGUGGGGAUCAAACAGG
rnacentral:rRNA from 1 species